GACGAACGCUGGCGGCGUGCUUAACACAUGCAAGUCGAACGGAAAGGCCCUGCUUGCAGGGUACUCGAGUGGCGAACGGGUGAGUAACACGUGGGUGAUCUGCCCUGCACUUCGGGAUAAGCCUGGGAAACUGGGUCUAAUACCGGAUAGGAGCCAUUUUUAGUGUGAUGGUUGGAAAGUUUUUUCGGUGUAGGAUGAGCUCGCGGCCUAUCAGCUUGUUGGUGGGGUAAUGGCCUACCAAGGCGGCGACGGGUAGCCGGCCUGAGAGGGUGGACGGCCACAUUGGGACUGAGAUACGGCCCAGACUCCUACGGGAGGCAGCAGUGGGGAAUAUUGCACAAUGGGCGCAAGCCGGAUGCAGCGACGCCGCGUGGGGGAUGACGGCCUUCGGGUUGUAAACUCCUUUCGCUAGGGACGAAGCUUUUUGUGACGGUACCUAGAGAAGAAGCACCGGCUAACUACGUG
rnacentral:rRNA from 1 species